rnacentral:lncRNA from 1 species
AAGGAGAAAGCAAAAUCAAAAUAGAAUAAUUUGCAAAGUUGUCUAUACAAGAUUUGAAAUGCUAGAUUCUUUGAUUCAUUAAUAACUGAGAUAACUUCUCUAGUAUAGAAACCGACCUAGAGAUUAUAGGCACAAGCUCUCAUUUCUUAACACUGAAACCUUCUCUCCUCUAUCUCUAUAUCCACUGAAGUGUAAGCUUUGCCUGCCAUCAACAGAUCUGAUGCGAUGAUUGAUGCUAUCACCUUGCAUAGGCAUAACCCUCUCUUUCUCUCAUUAUUUUUUAGAAUACUCAUAGCAAAAACUCGAGGAUAAUAUAGAGUGAAAGAUGGAUGAUUGUGGUAUAGAUAUCAGAGAGAGAAACAGUGAGAGGUGAAGUCAAAAGAAGCAAAGAUUGAAGGGGAUGGUAAAGAAAGAGAAAGUGCAUAUGGCAUUAUGUUCCGAUGUUCCAGUUGUGAGAUUGAAAAUAAAGAGGGCUGAUGUGACAGGAGAGAGAAUGUUAAUUGGGAGAGACAAAGAUGACUAAGCAUGAUUAAAUAGUAGAAAAAUUACUAUAAUAGAUGAUUGUGCUGUCCACUCAGCAUUCUGGUGGAGCUUUGCCAGAAAAUUAGUUGUAGGGAUUUUUCUAUUCCAC